rnacentral:lncRNA from 1 species
UGAUAUUUAACAGGUGGUAGGCAGACAUAGUGAUAGGAACGAAACAACUAGCAUGGCAAUGAUAGUAACGGUAUCUGGGGAAAUGGUCAUCUUGCCUGGGAUCCCGCUUGGAAUAAGAAUGACUGCGUGAAGCAGACAAACCGAUUUAGUUGAACGGAUCCUCACACUCCGAAGCGGUCGGAACUCUAUGGAGACGAAGCAAACCGGAAAUAAGAAUCA